rnacentral:lncRNA from 10 species
GGCUAGUCUCGAACUCCUGACCUCAGGUGAUCCACCUGCCUCCCAAAGUGCAGGGAUUACAGGCAUGAGCCUCCACACCCAGCCAAAAGUCCUCCUUUCUAAUCCUUAGCUUUUAAAUUUUUUCCUUGCCUUUGUCUCUGCCAGGAUCUCUAAGACAAUGUUGAGUAUAGGUAGUAACAGUGGAAUCCUUGUCUUGUUUCUCAGAUCCUUGUCUUGUUUCCCAUGUCUAGAAGAAAGCUUGAUCAUCUCAUUAUUAAAGCCAUGAUGACUGUUGAAUUUUAAUAAAGGUACUGUACUGGGUUGCAAAUGAAAGAGAAAUAAGUAUAAAUAUAAAGGAAGAAGAGAACACUAUCCACAGAGAGCAGGAAUUCCAGCCUGGAGUGAAGUAACUGCCAUGAACCACGUGUCUUUCCAAAACAUGCCAGGAAAUUUUGCUAUCCAGAUUCACCUGGACCUCGUAAGUCUCUUUCUGGACCCUUCAAGGACCCUGUCAACAGUGGCUGAAACCAGAAAUGUACCUGAAAGGGCAGCUUCUAGUAGAACUGUAACAGUUUCUGGCCUUUCUGUCUAGGGAGCUUCAGCCCACCUCCAGGAACAGAGACCAUAGAUUGAAGAAGCUGAAAGUCUGCUGGAGAUCUGUUUUUCCAAGAGUGGUUCAAGAAUCAUUAGGGCACUCCAGUAAGAGCUCAUUGUGGCUUUAUUUUUUUAUUUUAUUUUAUUUUAUUUUGAGACGGAGUCUCGCUCUGUUGCCAAGGCUGGAGUAUUGUGGCACAAUCUCGGCUCACUGCAACCUCUGCCUCCCGCGUUCAAGCGAUUCUGCUGCCUCACCCUCCCGAG